rnacentral:lncRNA from 1 species
CUGUAAUAACCAAACAAGAAAGCCUUAGAAGAACACACACAAUUCACAAAUUAUUUGCAAGGAAACAUUAGAAGAACACACAAGAAAGCCAACACUUGUAAACUGUAAUGUGAAGUGUUCUGCAACCAACCAAGGUAGGAGUUCUGGGGGCAACGGAUCAUGAAGUUCCUUCAUCUUCCCGUUGUAUAAAAGAAUAAUUAAAUAUCUGCCAUGUUAUACAUUCCAAAUGAACAAUGUAGUCACACCCAUUCUUUAAGCACUCAAGAGAUAGAUCUAGGCAAGGUUGAUGACAGACAUGACAUGCAGAGAUCUUCUUGGUGAAAGUGAGUUGGUGUGGAUGGCUCCUCAUUCUAUAGGAACCCCCAAGCUUCAUCUAUGAAUGCCUUUUCACAACACAUUCACGAUGAGCUGAAGUGUUACAAAUUGCACAAUGGUAAAACCAAUGGUUUGGAUUUCUAGUUUCUUCACAAAUGUCACAGUAAGUGUAUUCUGAAUAAAGAUUAUCCUCAUGAUAGGUGAGUAUGAGAGGAUGCUCAUCAUACUCGUGUUGAAUCUUGUUGGGAAGCCUAAGCCACCUAUUAUGCAC